UACGGGGGAUGCAAGCGUUAUCCGGAAUCAUUGGGCGUAAAGCGCCUGUAGGUUGUUUAAUAAGUCUGUUGUUAAAGACUAGGGCUUAACCCUAGAAAAGCAAUGGAAACUACUAGACUAGAGUAUGGCAGGGGUAGAGGGAAUUUCUAGUGUAGCGGUGAAAUGCGUAGAUAUUAGAAAGAACACCGGUGGCGAAAGCGCUCUACUGGACCAUUACUGACACUCAGAGGCGAAAGCUAGGGUAGCAAAAGGGAUUAGAUACCCCUGUAGUCCUAGCCGUAAACGAUGGAUACUAGAUGUUGUAUUUAUUUUACAGUGUCCUAGCUAACGCGUUAAGUAUCCCGCCUGGGGAGUACGGCCGCAAGGCUA
rnacentral:rRNA from 1 species